rnacentral:rRNA from 1 species
UGUUCCCUUGAGGAGUGGCUUCCGGAGCUAACGCGUUAAGUCGACCGCCUGGGGAGUACGGCCGCAAGGUUAAAACUCAAAUGAAUUGACGGGGGCCCGCACAAGCGGUGGAGCAUGUGGUUUAAUUCGAUGCAACGCGAAGAACCUUACCUACUCUUGACAUCCAGAGAANUUGNCAGAGAUGCUUUGGUGCCUUCGGGAACUCUGAGACAGGUGCUGCAUGGCUGUCGUCAGCUCGUGUUGUGAAAUGUUGGGUUAAGUCCCGCAACGAGCGCAACCCUUAUCCUUUGUUGCCAGCGAUUCGGUCGGGAACUCAAAGGAGACUGCCGGUGAUAAACCGGAGGAAGGUGGGGAUGACGUCAAGUCAUCAUGGCCCUUACGAGUAGGGCUACACACGUGCUACAAUGGCGCAUACAAAGAGAAGCGACCUCGCGAGAGCAAGCGGACCUCAUAAAGUGCGUCGUAGUCCGGAUCGGAGUCUGCAACUCGACUCCGUGAAGUCGGAAUCGCUAGUAAUCGUGGAUCAGAAUGCCACGGUGAAUACGUUCCCGGGCCUUGUACACACCGCCCGUCACACCAUGGGAGUGGGUUGCAAAAGAAGUAGGUAGCUUAACCUUCGGGAGGGCGCUUACCACUUUGUGAUUCAUGA